rnacentral:rRNA from 1 species
UACGAGGGGGGCGAGCGUUGUUCGGAAUUAUUGGGCGUAAAGGGCGCGUAGGCGGUCGGAUAAGUCUUGUGUGAAAUCUUCAGGCUCAACUCGAAGUCUGCACAGGAAACUAUCUGGCUUGAGUGUGGGAGAGGUGAGUGGAAUUCCUGGUGUAGCGGUGAAAUGCGUAGAUAUCAGGAGGAACACCUGUGGCGAAAGCGGCUCACUGGACCACAACUGACGCUGAGGCGCGAAAGCUAGGGGAGCAAACAGG